ensembl:lncRNA
CUUGCCUAGUGGUGUGCCUUUGUGCAUUACAAAGUUCUGGGUUCAUCAGCAGUCAGAGUACAUUCCUGAUGUCGGUACAGCAUGUGCUCAAGAUAGGAGUUUGCCAUGUCAAAGUUUUGUGUGUGCCAUGAUCAGACAGAAUGAAUCCACCAUUCCCCAUUCUGCAGUGCGCUUCUGCCUGCUCCUCUGUCUGGCUGGAAUAGAUCUGUGCUGUUUGCUCAGCUGACACCAUGCUUCCUAAAAACAGUUCCUUCUAAUUUGAAACAGGCAAAGGAACAACGAUAAAAAACCAUUCCCUCCAACCCUAUCAUCAUCUUGGCUGUAAUUUGAUUCUACUUUUUGUUCUGAUUUUUGAAUUUUGUAGACUCACCCACGAUUCAUUGAAGACUGUGCUGUAUGAAAAUACAGGAAGAUUGGAGUGGGAGUACUGGAAGAUGAUGGAAGAGAACACUGCUGAAUGAAGGUGCUCAAAGUAAGUCAUGUCAAAGCUGAUGGAUUUCCUGUCAUGGUGUGCUAGAUAGCUGUCAUGGUUUGCUAAAUCGACAUGAUAUGUUGAAAGGACGCUUGAAGUUUUUAAGAUAAUAUGGUUAUAAGCAAGCUAGGGAAAUGUGGUUACUAGGAAACUUAUCAGGGCCAGAAGUCUUUGAUACCAGUACUAUGGAAGCCUCAGUAAUAUUUGGUGAGAUGGUUCAGAUGGGAGUUCAGUUUCUCUGUUCUAGGCUUGGCUGCAUUCAAUGUGUCCUUUAAUGUGCUGCGGGAUAAAAUGAGAAGUGUAUUAAAACUGCAGCUGCAGAAAGUGGGAAAGCAUGGCAGAUGGUAAAAGGCAUUAUUAGAGUUCUUAAUACUCUUGACAAAUAGGAAGAAUGAUUGGAAAGCUGUAGGAUGUAGUACAGAGAUGACAACAAGUGAACAACAGAGAAUGGGAAACGAAAUGAAGUGCUGAGAUCCCAGAUGGGGAAUGAAUGGUUGGCCAGAGACAGAUGGAGAGUUAUAGUGGAGCGCAAGCCCAGUACAAAAUAGAGACCUACUGUUUGCAAAGAUACUGCUAAUACAAUGUUUAAUGAGGAAUACUGCCACCAGAAUAGGAGAAGAAAUUUUGUGGCUCAGUUAAGUUUGGUAAAUCCUCAGAUAAAACAUCUGGUUGGGACUAUUCUGCAAAGAAGUUGCAAACUGGCUGGAGAGGCUGCAGAAAGUAUGGCAUCAAGUCCAGCAGUGUGUCAUAGGCAUCUGACACAUGGUCAGAGAUCCUGGAACCUGUCUUCAUAACCUAUAAAGACAAAUAACUCCUCACAAAUACUUAAAAUGCUCUUGUACGGAAGGGAAUAUUUUGUUCUUUGUGUUCAUGCUGGAUAGGGCAAGAAAUGAUGUGUUUAAACUGCAUUAAGAUUGAUUAAAAGUGCAACAGUAAGUAAAAUACUGGCAAAGGACAGUGAAAUCAUUAGAAUGGAUUGUCUGGGAAGGUGGUGGAGUAUUGAUUACUGCCUGCAUUUAAGGAAAGGUUGGAUGUGUGUCUGUCAGGAGUGGUUAGCUGUGAUUAACUGCUGUAAGCAGACAGGUUAUCUGGUCACUAAGGCCCUUCCUAGCCUUGUUUUCUGCAAUGCUGUUCUUUAGCUAUCGUUGGGGCACUCUUCCUUGGGGGCUUGAUGUGCUGUAGGACACUUGGUAUGGAGUGUGAACUCAUUCCUGUAAACCUUGUGGUGCACUGGGUGCUGCCAAGUGUAAGUCAUUAUUUACAAACUCAAUGAAUGACGAUGAAGGCUGAGUUUCCAACUAAGCUGUCAAGCAUCUCUUGGGCUCAUGAAUAAGAUGUUCAGGCACAGCAGAAAUAGAACAGCUGAGGUAUUUUUAUGAAACCUUAGUCAAAACCAUGUGUGCUUUUUGCCUUGCUCUUCAGUCACCACCUAGUGUUUGCACCCUCACCAAUACAGCCUGUGCUGCUUUUCUCUAUUAGUCCACACACGGAUUUAUUAGCAAAGAUGUCAACUGUGCUGAUGAAGGGAUAAUUGAAGCAGUACCAAAUAGCAACAGCAUGAUUUUUUCUGUAAUGUCUGUUCAAAAAAAAAAAAAACACAUCCAAAGGAACCAGAAGUAAUAAUUAUGAAAUGAAAUUAAAUGCAAGGCAAUGCAGGACUUGCCAGAGCCAAAUGGAAUUAAAAUGCCAACGAUUCUGAGUUUAGCUCUGAAUUCAAACAUUAACUCCCAUUAUAGUCCUAGCGUGGCAAUUAGGCUAUUCCACUCUUUGGUGGUGGAUAGUAUGAAAUAGGUAAGUCUUCCUUCGGAAGAGAAGUCAGUAAUCAGUGAAUACCGCCACAAAAUUCAUUCCUUCAGCUUCAUUCUGACUUGCUUGGAUGUGGUUACUUCUUGUGCACAAAUCUGUUUUUGAUAAGGGCUGAGUUGCUGUGUGUUGGUUAAGCAGUAGGUAAUAGGCUAUGUACAUUUCUGUUGUAGACUUAGUGGCUUUAAAGUGGGACUGGGAAAAAGGAAAAGAAGAAAAGAAACUUACUCUGUUCUUACAUCAUGCCACAGAAGUAGUUAGUCCUAUGGUCCUAUUGCAUGACUGUUUAAAUACCUGAAGUGGACCUGUCUCCAGACAUAGCUGCACUACUCAUUCAGGCAGUCUGUCAUUGCCUGCUGGUUUUCUAAUAGAUCUGAGGUUAAAUAAUUUGUUGUUGCUUUUAUUAACAGCUAAAAGCAACACAGAAUGGACAGUGAUCUUUGUCAGUGAAACAAGCACAGUGUCAAUCAGCAUGAAAUAGGCAUCUGCCAAACUUUGUAGGUGGAGAUCUACUCCGCUGCAUUCAAAAGGCUGAUGUAAAAAUUAACAUAGCCAAAAGUCUGAGUGAUAGUCAUGAUGAUAAAAAAUUUGUUAGGGCAAGGCAGAAACUUUUAGCAUCAAUACAGCUGAACUGUGGUCUACACUGCUGCACUGGGCACUGGCCAAAUUGUUUUAGUUGGGUGACCUUUGGUUACAGAACUAUGUCUAGUAUGAGGGAAGCAAAUUAAUGAAUGAAUGGAGUCUGCAGUGGUUAGCUGAUCAAAGUUAUCACCUGACACUGUGUCCUCAGCAGAAGGCAGUGUUACAGCCUACAGACCAGACAGGUUUGUUUGUGUGAGGUCUGAUGGAUACUGAUAAUUCUGGCACAAGAAGCUGGGGAGGAGGAAAUAGAUGGAUAUUGUUAUUUUGGUAUUUCUGUUGUCUUUGUUUCUUCUCUGGGGGAUUAUUUCCCCAAGUACUGCUUCACUGUAUUUCUGACGCAUGUCUUUCUGAUGCUGUAUGGGAGAAUUUCUGUCAGAGGUAGUUGAGAAAUAAUGACCUGCAUGGGAAGCCAGAUUAUAAAUGCAAUUAAAUGGUAUCCCGACACUGUCCUGUGCCAUUGUUUCAAUGUGUUUACCAUAGCAUUAGAUUUACUAAUUUAAAAUCAAACUGGAGCAGGUGCAAAGAAAGAAAAUUAGGAUGGCAGGAAAAUGAAGAGCCUAAUGGGGACCAGAGUUCCAUUCAAAAUGCAAACAGCCACAUGAGUAAGAGGUGUUUGAUUUUUUUACCUUUAAACUUGAUAGUUUGAGGAAUAAAAGAAAGAAAACUACUUGUGCAUAAAUGUGCCUUGUUCCUCUUCCAGAAGGAGUAGAAAAGAAGAGGGGAAAAAAAUAACCCCAUUAGUUUAUACAGCAUGUUUGAAUUUCUGAAUGGGAUCUUAUGAUAUAAUGACAAAAAAAAAACCCUAUAUAUAAUGACUUGAGAUAUCUCUGCUAUCUUUCGUUCCUGUGAAUUUGUUCCACAGGUCUGUGCUUCUGUUCUACACUGGAAAGUCCUGAAGUAAGGACUAUCCCCUUUUGAAAGGCCCAAAAUAGUUGAGUCUCAUCCAUUUCACAAGCCAACCCAGAGCUUCUCUUCUAUUAAGUACACUGGUGGGAUAUCUGUAGAAACACAAAUAUUUGUCCCUGAUGCUGCUGUCUGAAGGGCUUUCAUCCAUAUCCUUGUUUGUUUUUUUUUCCCCAAGAAGAACAUGCAGUUGUGAUGCUCAUGUUAUAUCAACAUGGCAAGAACCACAAAAAACAAACAAAAGAACAAUGGUGUCUCAUCACCAUCAUUAUCUACUUUUCUGUCACCAGCAAAUACUACAAGAACUACCCAUCCAACAGCAAUGGAGAGAGGAACGUGGAGGAGAAAACAGUAGUUCUUCCUUCUGGAUGGCCAUGUGGCCUUCUGGAUGUGUUGGAAAGCUGAGUGCUCUGACAUGCUGGCUUUUUACUUUGACCAUAUUCACAUCCAGGUGUGUGAUGAUUUUCAUGCUUAUGUAUGGGAAGCAGAGACAGAGUUGGUCCUGAUGGAAGAAGAGACUCUUGUAGCUGACAGCUGGCAGUGCUGUCCCCAGUACAGCAAUUUAGGGAUCAGCAGCUGGCUGAUGAGAUUGAAGGUCAAAGCCUGAACAGUCUGGUCUGAAAGAAGAAAACAACAGAGCUGCAAAGUUAGUGAUACAGUGCCUGUCCCAUGUGCACACAUUCAAUGUUAUGGAUUUUGUUACAAAAAUUAGAAUGCAGAAACAUGAAAAUGCAAUGUGAGACAUUUAAGAGGUGAAUGAGGAGAUGCUUAUUCCUUCUUUCCUCCCACAUCGUCUCAGCCCAAAUACGCAGGUUUUUGUCAAGUUGUCUGAUAACUUUUCAGGCACAGCCUUACUACUUUCCACAAAAUGUGAAUGGAAGUUGGUGGAUAUAUUGCAUGGGGAGACAAGUUGGAAGUGGAACUGGCUGGAUUAGCCUUGGACAAAAGCAUGUCUGUUAAAGGAUAACUUUCUGAAUGCAACAAUGCCAGCAGAGUGGCACUUGUGUUCACCAGCACUGGACAUGUGGAAAUCAGAGUGUCUGUGUGUAACAGACAGGUGUUAAAGCACAGUUGAUGCUAAACUUGGGCUCACAGUUUUGUAUGUACUGAGUGCAGUGUGGGGCACUGAUUAUUGCACAGUGAGAAUUGGAUCUGAAGAAGUAAUAAUUUUCUCCAUGGUUUUUGUCUGAAACAAAUGAAAGUUAUCAUAGAAAUAUAUCACUGGAGACAUUCCUGGAAAGAACAUUCUGUGCAAUUAUUUGUGCCUGCUAGAGGCAUAACAAAAUGUAAAGGCUGAAAACUCAAGCUGGGAAAAUGCACUUCAGGAUCAUGACGUGGGUUUUCAGUAGUGCAAUGCUCUCCGUGGGCAUGGGCUAUUGAGAGAAGCAGUCAACUUCAGCACUGCAGAUGAAAGGAUUCAGGACUGGAAGCUUCUAUAAAAAAAAAAAAAUUGUCUGAGUCCAUGAGCAGUUACUGAACUUGCUGACAAGUAUAUAUGCACAGCAAGGCAUACUAAGUAAUGGCCCCUAUUUGUUCCCAUGGAAACUGGAACAGAUUAAAAGAGCACAAUAACACAAUCUGAAAGAGCAAGUUCUCAGCUCUAAAUCACUGUUUUUCAACAUAGUUAUCACUGUUAACUCUGCAUUUUCACCAGUAAUGAACAAGGUUCUGCAUGCUGUGCUCAUAAAUAUCUGCAUGGCCAUCCACAGCAUCUUAUUUUUCACAUUGCUGUCACCACCCAUGAAAUACAGCACCCGCUGUCUCCUUGUGCCAACAGCCACACUUAGGGCUCCAUAAACACUCAGUGAAUGUCAAUAAAUGUCAAUGGGUGCAUAUUUUUCCUCACAGGGGAAUUUGGUUCCACCCUUUGCUCCAUCCCCACUUCCACGAGGCACUGUUCUGUCAGACCGCCCCUCUGCUGCCCUCUGUUACACAGCACCAAAUGAAUACUGGCAGGAACAUCCAACCCCUGCUGCCAUACCACCUCCAUCCACCUCUGAUGGCAAUGGCCAACAUUGUAAAAUAGGAGGCACUAUUUUUGAAGCAGCCCUCAUAAUGUUCUUCAUUGCAGGUAUUACUGAGCAAAAUUGUGUCUGCUUGUGUUUCAGGUCAGGUUAGAUGACAGUGGCCUUCUCUAGCCUUGGUUGUGACAGAGACAGUGAGGGUUUGCAAGAGACAAAACCACAAAAAUCAGCUGUUUGAGCAGUGACCAUUCCCUUGUUAGGGGCAGGAUUGCACCACAGUGGUUGGACAUGCGUAGAGCUUACGGUAGGUUGUGCAGCACUGUGAGCUGAAAGGCCAGUUAGCACACUCAAUAUUGGUUGCUGUAAAAGAGCACUAAUGAGUGUGCUAAUUAUGUAGCAGCUUGCAGUGACACACACAUAGAAAAUUGUGAUGAUUGGAUGUUGAAAUAUUCCUUCACAUGUUUUUAUUUUGGUAAAAGUUCAAUUAGUUUGAUGCAAUUUACCUUGUGCUGUCCUGUUCACUGAAGAUUGACUAUAGCGACUACCCAUGGAGACUCAGGGCCGUGAUGACCCAGGUGACUCAGACUUCUUGCUGUGUUAGAAGCAAAUUCUGCACAACCGAACUCUCCUUUCUGAGGCCAGCAUGGUUGGGUAGCCAACCACAGACAAAGGCCAUUAAUGCACAGAGAGACAUACAAGAUUAUAAAACUCACAGUCUUCAGCUAGGAGCCUUAGGAAGAACAGAAGUUUCCCUUAUCUUAUGUGUUAAUUUGUAUCUGCAUGUAUUGGAGCCAAUAGAAACGAUGUAUUAGUCAUUCUCAAAACAAAAUUGUAUAAGUAAGCCAUUUCCCCCCCCCCCCCCCAAGUAUUUCAUUAUCUGGAACACUGCAGUCAUUUUUAUCUGUUUUUAGAAUUCAUUUGUCAGUGUCUUUCAAGAACUCUUGCCUUGAUGCACUUUGUCCAGAGUGGGCUACCCAGUACUGCACUUAGAUAGGAAAGGAGAAGUGAGAAGAAGAAAGGGAGUUUGGAAAUGCAAAGAGCUCACAAAGUCACCCAUUAAUCCGUUUACACGUAGAAGUGAACUUCACAGUGUGAUCUAAAUGGCUGCUGGGGAUUUCAGGCACUCCCAUUAAGAGAAGAUUAUGAUUCCGCUGUCUUACUGUGUAAGAGGUAAUGUAGGAAAGGCUGAGCAGCAGCUGGAUGUUCAAACUGAGGGUUUUCUUUAACCAUUUCAGCACGUUUCCUUGAAGCCUUUAGUCUCAUCCAUUUGGAUGGGCAGCAGAGGAAAUUUUGUUUAUGGUUAGGCUCGUUCCAGCCAUGAAAUUAACAGAAUAAGUACAGAUAAAAGUAGAAAGAUUAGGGAGAUUUUAAUUUGGUACAGGCAUUCUUAAAUGUUUAUUUGCUUUUUGGUCUUGGAACUUGCCCCAUCACUUAAUGAAUAAGAAUGCUCCAUAGCAGCUGCAAAGAACAGCGGUGAGAUGAAGGCAGUAUGAAUUGAGUGGCCUGGGACAAAUAGUAAAGUUAGGAGCAUUAACAAAAUCAUUUUUGACAACUGAUGUAAACUGAAAGCUGCAGAUCAUACAAGAAGGAAGGGUGAGAGGUACCAGGAGGCAGUCACUGCUUUGUGUUUUAUUUCCAUAACAAAACUGACUUAAAUGAUGCCAUGCAGUUGGUGACAACAUAGCCUUCCUAAAGAUCUGUAAAGCAGAGCUCCCUCAUCCUUGGCAUCUCAUCAUCUUGGUGAAGAUGAGUGAGUAAAACAUAUUCUCCACACCUGUGAAUGAUUUCCACAGCUGACUCUGAAGCAGUGGUAUGCUCUAAUUUCCAGAAGUUGGGAGAGCUGCAGCCUAAGGCCACUUCUCCGCAUCCCUGCAUGACCUCGUGCUGCAGCACUGCCAUCCUCAGGGGGCACCCGGAGUCCCUCACACUGAGCUGUUGUGCUGCACCUCCUUAUGUCACCCUGUGACCAUUUCAGCAGAUGUGAAGUUAGGAGAGCACCUGAGGGUUUUAUUUAUCCUGGACAAUGGCUGAGUUAAGCAGACGUUGGUAUCUGUGCCUUGAAAUGAGUGGGAUUAAUGAAUGUCUACAGUUUCCACUGUUAAGAUUGAAGAAGAAAUUCUUAAGGCCUUCGCUACCCACAGAAUGUACAGACAUUCCUUUUUUUGGCUCUUUUUCUCCCGUGUUUCCCAAAAUUCCCAUAGAACCCAAGGAGAGCAUUGGUACAGCAUUGUUUUUAUAGCACUCUGGGUUCGCAGCAUUCUAAAACACAUCAGUGACUCAUCUGAAGUUUUUGAUUACAACUUCUUGCCUCAGUGCUUACAUUCACUUCUUAAAUAUUGACGGUGUCCUGAAAAAGUCGUGUUACCAAGGAGAAAGUAGCAAUGGUUUAUCAGAACACACAGUGCUUGAUAACCCCUGCAGAAGGGUAGAACUUUGAUUCACAGCUACUUUAUUUCUGCUUUAUGCCAACUUAAUUAUAUCCUAAACGGGGGACAAAAGGACCUUUUCCCACCUUUGCUAUUGUGUCACUCUUUCACUCUGCUGACACACCAAGGCUUCCCAGAUCUCCAUUCUGCUCCGUUCCAGGGGAUGUGUUACCUCAAAUCACUUACAGCAUGUUUAGCCAGUAGGAGUUUGUGAAUUGUUUUAUCAUUCUUGCUGGAAAAUUUGUUGAAUUGUUGAUAUCACUCCUAAUAGUUUCCAGCUUUGUGUCAUUUAUGUUCAUGUGAGUUGCUUUUUUUUUUCUUUUUUCUUUUUUUUUUUAAUUUAUUGAACACAUUCAUCAGGCAUUAUUUAUGGAGUUUGAUGUUAUUACAGCCAUGAUUGUGAGAUGUGAUAUUUUCCUGGUGUUUCAUUUUAUUAUCCUUUGCAUACACUGUAAAGACUCAGCUCUGCCCAUCAAACAACUUUUGCUUUGGUUUUCAGUCAGGUUAACAGUCUCUUGUUUUUAACACCAUCUUUUCCAAGAAACCAGCAAAGGUUACCUGACUGUUUUUCACAUCCUCUCAGGUAUUUCAGUGAGCUCUCCUUGUGCUGCUGAUUGCUUUCCUUUGCAAAUCAGAGCCUUUUUCAGCUUGACUGUAUAAAGGACUCUCCAAGUGCACCUUUGGGUGCUUAUGGAAACAUUGUCAGCUAGGAGCAGAUGACUGGAAAUUAGCUCAAGGCUCCAUAUUUUGAGAUCAGCAGUCACAGAAUAAUGACGGUAUUUUCCUUCAUGUGUUUAAGAGUCAUGGAUUACUCCCCCUGCUUUACAGCUGGACCGAGCAGCGUGGCUCCAGUAGACUGUGGAGGAGCUGCAUUACAAGUCUUAACUCUGUUGAGUGCUUGGAAACUAAUCAGGGAGUAUGCUGUUACCUCGCAGGUCCUCAGAAUUUUGACUGUGAUUUGCAAUUCCUGUGACGAUUUGCAGACUUGCCCAGCACCAUCUGAGCAUUAUCUAAAGCAGUCACACCCUGAGACUCUUUGAGAUCUUCCUUGGGAAAACCAGAGCCCAGUUCUGUGCCUGACCACUCUUUCAGAGAAGAAAAUUUUCCCAAUAUCUAACCUGAACCUCUCCUGGUGCAUCUAGAUGCCUUUCCCUCUCAUCCCAUCACCACAUACACAGGAGAAGAGAAUGACCCCCACCUCACCACAGUAAGGUCUCCCCUGAGCCUUCUCUUCUCCAGACUGAACAAUCCCAGUUCCCUCAGCUGCUCCAGACACCUCCCCAUGUUGGCCAAAGCCCCACCCAGUUCACUGAUAGGGUACCCACACUGCUCUGGCCAUCCUAUGCCAGUGUCUCAUUGUUCUCAAGGUGAAGAAUUUCUUCCAAAGUCUUGAAUUUCUUUUACAUCUGCCUGUGUACAAGCAGGUGACAUCAUCUGGUGGAUGGAUCCAUUAGUGAUUCAGGCAGCUGGAAGCCAAAUUUGAACUUUUCUGCUGUUUUCCAUCCAAAAACCACAGUAUGCUUGAAAAAAGAAAAAAAAAUGUUGUAAAUAAAGACUCUUAAUUGCUACUAGAGCAAAAGGAGUAAUGGAUAUUUUCUACAGAUGGAAAUAAUACAUAAAGCAACACAUGCAGCAUUUGUUAGUAUUACAAAAGUGAGGACAUACAAAAGAAGCACAGAAUGGUUGACAUUGGAUGGAGCCCAUGGAGAUUGCUUAGUCCAGACCCCCUGCAUGAAGGCAGGAGCAGCUACAGCAGGCUGUCCAGCUGUGCCUGGGUGACUGCUGGCUGUGUCCAAGGAUGAAGACUCCACAGCCUCUAAGGAAUCUGUCACAGCACUUGACUGUACCUAUGAGGAAAAAAAAAUAACUUAGGCCUAAAUGGUAUAUCCUGUAUUUUGGUUUGUGACCCAAAACUACAUUAGAUUUAAGCACGUGUCUUCUAUUCAUGUUCAGUUAUUGAAGACAAGAUGACAACAAAUAGCAGCACAUUGCCCUGACUCCUCGCCCUAUGGCACAAGCACCACUGUCACCGCUACUAACAUCAGAGAUGAGUUCAUAGCAGACAUUUCAUAAGACAUCUGAUGCAGAAUGCAAGCUGCUAAACACUGAUGUUCUCAGGUCUCUGAAACUGAGGUACAAAGGCUGUAUGUGUGUUUGAAAAGCAAACAAACAACAGAGACAGAAAGAUGUAUAGGCUAACAAACUCAACACAUUGCUGCAACUGUUUCAAGAGCUUUAUUUAUUACAAGCACUUUGGAAGGAAGGACAAAAGCAUAUGCCAGAAAAUGAUUAAAGAGUGAACUGGGGAAGUUUAGACUCCUUCGGAAUAAAUCUAAGUAAUGGACAGCAUUUAUUAUGUCUGUUUAAAAGCAAAGUAAUAAGGACAAAGGGUAAAUCUACACUAGCAAUUAGCUAUGAAUUCUUUUUUUGUGUCUAUGCCACCCAGCUACAGUCAUGUCAGCUUUCUAUAUUCACUUGCCAGAAAAAGAGCUGUGCAAAACCAUGACUUUUGUUCAGGCAGGAGGUAGAUAUAUGCUUCAGCUGCUGUCCACAGCUGCACACAAUCAAUAUGCACCAGGCCUGCAAAUACAGAGAGAUCUUCCCCCAAAAAAUCUUACUCCAGGCUGAAUUCCAAUUCCUUACUAAGAUAUCUUUUUUUUUUUUUUUUUUUUUUUUUUUUUUUUUUUUUUUUUUUUUUCCCCCCCACUGGCAUCAGUUUUCCCAAAUGCUGACCCCAAAUUCCCCUUCUGUCUACCUGGAAACCUGGCUGGUAGACCCACACUGGGCAUUUAACCCCAUAUUUCCUUGCAGUCUGCGAGUCUGUACUUGGCUCAACUGUUCCAGCUGAGCUCCUUCUAUUGCAGUGUACCUGGGUACUUACUUCCAUUGUGCUGCCUGGAGAACAUGGGGCUCCCUGAUCAGUGCUUGAAGGAACGCCACACAGCCCCUGAGCCUGGCCAUAGAAUCAUAGAAUCACAGAAUCACCAAGGUUGGAAAAGACAAGAUCAUCCAGUCCAACCAUCCACCCACCACCAGCAGCUCUCACUAAACCACGUCCCUCAACACAGUGUGUACAGCAGCUCCAGUAGCUGCCACAGCACACCAUCCAAAUGACCUCUUAGAUAUGGGUGUGUUCUGCUGGAGUGCAGAGUGGAGACACAUCACUGUCCUGAAGGGAAGGGCACAAACUGGAGGUGCAGUGGUGCUCAGGAUGUGUCCUUGCUGUGCAGAGUCUGACAAGUAUUUAUCAGUGCUCCACCACCUCAGUCCAUUUUGAUUUCCUUCCUUACAUCAAUUCUUUGCAUCAAAAGGAGGAACUAUACAUUCACACACCAUUUUACACUGCAAAAAACAUAACUUGUUUUGUGUUGUUGUAGUUCAUGGCAAUAUUCCAGGCUUCCAGGUAAAUGUUUCAUCAUUGGAUCUCAAAGAUAGUUAAUAGUCAACAGUGAAUAAGUUCUGCCAUUGCAAUAUUCUGCUCAGAUGUUGGCAAAGCUACGCACAUCUGAUUGUUUUCAUGCAAAUGCUCUCCUUUACCACAGAAGUUUGUUGCUGUAAAGAGAAGAAAUAAUUGAUGCUGGGAUGCAAAAUCCCCUCAAGUGAAGGCAUUGCACACUGGGAAAAUUACAUGUCCUGCCCUGCGGCCUUGCUGUGACCGCACGCUGCCUUGACAGUGAUCACUGGCUGGAACGAUGUGCUUCGCCAAGGUUGUCUUUAUUUAGACAAGGCUGCUGCUUUCUGAACUGCUUGCGGGAACAGAGGGGUCAUGCAGUAACCACUCUGCACCUCCUGUGUCAGAGGACUGUGGCGCACUCAGGGGAACACGCCUUUGGUAUUUUUCUAUGUUCUAACAGGGAAAACGGGGUAUUUGGAAUAAAGCAGCAAUGAAACAGACAGUAAGGUGGGCUUUUCUUUGAGUAUAACCCCAGAUUCUGGUCAGUCCAGCCUGAUCCCAGACAGAUAGCCAUGGCAGCAGCCUGAGCUCAGGCAUGGCUUCAUCUUCCUGCCUUUCCUGUAUUAAAGAACAUGGCAGCUUGCACUACAAAUAAUGUAUCUGUGCUGUUUACUACCACUGCCAGCAUUCCAGGAGAGCCAGAAGGGUCUGACACAGAUCGGCCUCUGGUUGUUGCCACAGCACCUGCGGAUGGUGUUUGUACUGAGGUCACAUUCAGAUGCAAGAAAGGUUACAAGCUGCCAAUAAUAAGAGUAACAAAAUACAGAUUUCCUCAGACCAGUGGCAAAGCCAGGAAUGGAGCUCAGGUUACUGCCUGCUAAACUUACAGCCUGUCCCAAAUUUAUACCAGAUGAGUGUAACAGGUUGGCAUGGAGUUAGUGCAAUUAAAUUCCAUACAUGUGGGUAACCCUUUGUUUAGUUACCAAGCCUAAACUCAAGAGCUGGGGUAGGAAACAAAGUGCAUAUGAUGCAAUGUGUAUUUUUUUAAAACUGGAAAACCAAAUUCAGGGUUGUGAGCCUGAAUCUCAGUUAGUAUAGGCUGUGAAUUCUGAUGAGUCUGUGCAGAACAACAGGAUCUGAGCGUGGGUGUUGGUUUCAUAUCCCAACACAGAAGAUUUGGGAUGAAUAUUUCAUAAGUUCACAAAGGUCCUGAGGAAUAUGCAUGAUAAAAAAAGUACUGGUUAGUUUGAAAGAGGUUAACAGCUUUCUAAAUAGAAUAAAGUAGAUAUCAUGGGGCUCUCAGCUAGAUAAAUGCAGGCAUAUUUCCUAAUUUCUCUGCUGCAAAACAGUCCUCUACUUCUCGCUGAGUCUUUUCCUUUUAUAAGGUGAGGACUGGAGGACUCAGACAAAACAGAUGAUGUUUGGUCAGAUGAGGGUUUAAAUCUGGCAGCUAAUGUUGCCCAUAGCACUGCCUGCGCUGAAGAGAGAGAAAUUGUGCAGUAGGCAGGUAAUUCAUAACCCUGGAGAGGUAUCUGAAUAACAGGACAGAAUUGCUCUGUUACAGCUCCAGCCCCUGCAGUGAAAUCCAUCUGCAUGCAUUGCACCCAACCUGUUGGUCACAUCCAUGAGUGCCCCUGGCACAUACAGCCUUCCUACCACAUUGGUGUAGUUCAUGUGAUACACACUCAUACUGAGCAAUCCAUGAAUGGGUCUGUACAGCCGUCUAAGAGGGACAGUGUUACAGUCAUGUGGUCAUAAUAAAUCAUAAAUCUGUGCCACCCCUUUAACAAAUGAUUUCCCCAUCUACAUGCUAAAGUUGAGGUACAAAUUUUUUUUUUUUUUUUUUUGCCAAUAUCUUUGCUGAAAUCGAGUGUUUGGAUGGAUUAUGUGCAUGACUUUCCUUUUAAAUACCACUAAACUGAUGUUUGUGAUGUGCUUGAUUGACUGUUAAUGAAGGAUAAACUGGGGUUACAAACACAACUCUGUGUUGCCUCAACUCUUACUCUGCCCUGGAGUCAAUUCUUAUCUGUGUGGCUGCAUUUGGGUAUGGGAGAAAACUUCAAAUACUCAUAAUCAGAAAAAAAAAAAAAAAAAGUUCUCUAAUAUUCAAAGUCUUUAAUAUAGGCUUUGCUGGAACAUCAUUUGAAAAGUGUAAUUCCACAUUUCACAUAAACCAUCACAGUAACUCUUGGAAUCAGAAGCAGAGAGGCUGAUCCUCCCUUCAUCUGCACAGCCCUCACCUCUGCUGUCAUUAGCAGGUUCUCCAACCACUACCAAUGCAGGUGGUUUUUUGUUCACUAAACUUCCAGAAUGUAACUUCAUGGCCCACACAGGAGCAAUCCUUCUCUACCUGAACACUUAGACAGUGAAAAGAUAUCCACGUCUGCCUGUGCAUGGACACAGAUGUGCAAACAAAAUAACCAUCUUGAGUUUUAUUUCCUUACAAAAAUUUAAGAAGUCAGGCUCAAAGAAGAGGAGGAAGAGGAAAUACUGCUUGGGCUUCCCAGUCAGUCAUUUGUGAAAUAAACAAACACGGAAUCGAUUUGUUUUGUAUUUCAGCAUGAAAACAGACUGAAAUCUGCGUGGGAGUUGAAAUCAAAGCAUAAAUAGAUGUAAAAAAAAAAAAAAAAAAAUCCAGUGGAGGAUCUAAGGGCAAAAAGCCACCUGGGAAGGGCCAGGAUGACCCCACCAGGCUGUCCCGUGCGGUGGGUACCCUCUGGCUGCUAUGCAUGGAGGUCCCCAAAGAUCUGAACCAAAGGCUCCGAGGGCAGCCCUUCCUCCAGCAGCACCGGGAGGAGCAGGCAGAGCUCCCAGAGCUGGCAGAACAGCACCUGGAGCAGAAGCUGAGCAUGAAGCUGGCCAGCUGGGAAAUGAGCUAAUGAGGUGCAGAUGGUAUGAUUCUUAGAGCACAAAGUGCAGGUCAUGGCUGCUGUUGCUCUCCUGGGAAGCUGGAAAGAAGGUGGUUCUGCUGCUCUGUUUCUCCUGCUGGUAUUUUGCCCAGCUAGCUGUGUGCUACAAAUGAGCUGGUGCUCUCUAACAGCACUAGGAAUGGCCUUUGUUUGCCAUUAAUGUUAAAAAGAGAUCAGCUAUUUACAGACGGCUUGGUAGUUGUUCUUUCCUGAAUGCUUCCUUGUGUCUUGAGUUCAUAGUGCUGCUGGAGCACACUAGGAAGGGUGCCUUUCUGCAACAUCCAUGUGCUGCAAGUGAGGUUCAGGCAGCUCAGCCCAAACCUGGCUCACACCAUCCAGCUGCCAGCCUUGGCAUUCAGCUUGUAGAAGGCUUUGACAAGGUGAAGAGCAGUUCAGUUGAGCUCAUGUUCAGCACACAGCACAGACUGAAGAAUCCUACGUGAUGACUGAAAAAGCUGUCUCUGGGACCAACCGAGGGAGAAGAAAUCUGAAAUAGCCAAAUGGAUAUCUUUUCUUACCUGGACUGAUUUGCAAUAAGAAGUGCAUGGAAACAGCUUGGAGUUGGAAUAUGAGAGAGGAAGAAGAGGAGAGCUGCUCCCAGCCCUGCUGCUGACUCACUGCCACUCUCUACCAUUAGAAAACCGAAAUAAAUCAUUGUAUCACCACUUCCUUCUGUCCAGAUCUGCAGUGAGGUUUACACUGGAAAAGGUUGUAAAGCAUUCUGCUGCUCACAAAUGGGGAAACUGCAGGGAGGGAAAAGCACAGAUGUCUGACCACGGUCUGACCAUUUGAUCAAAGAAAUGAAAUUUCCAAAGGCUGCCAUGUCUGUCUUCUGGGAUUGGGAUUCAUCCUUCUGUGUCCCCAUUGACUUCUCCAAAUCCUAGGAAAGGACUUGAAAUACUUUGCUUUAUCUGCGGGAAGGCAGAAGCUGCCUGAAAUCUGAAGAUUCUCUGAAUGC